rnacentral:rRNA from 1 species
AUUGAACGCUGGCGGCAUGCCCUACACAUGCAAGUCGAACGGUCACGCGGGGCACUUUGGCGACGAGCGGUGAACGGGUGCGUAAUGCAUAGGCACGUGCCCAGUAGCGGGGGAUAGGCCGGCGAUAGCCGGAUUAAUACCUAAUGCGAGCUGAGGGUGUAAGCGGGGGAUUGCAAGACCUCGCGCCUUUGGUGCGGUCGAUGUCAGAUUAGCUAGUUGGUGGGGUAAAGGCUUACCAAGGCGACGAUCUGUAGCUGAUCUGAGAGGACGACCAGCCACACUGGAACUGAGACACGGCCCAGACUCCUACGGGAGGCAGCAGUAGGGAAUUUUGGGCAAUGGGCGCAAGCCUGACCCAGCCAUGCCGCGUGCGUGAAGAAGGCCUUCGGGUUGUAAACCGCUUUUAUCAGGGAAGAAACGCUCUGUACGAAUACCCUGAGGUAAUGACGGUACCUGAAGAAUAAGCACCGGCUAACUACGUG